rnacentral:RNase_P_RNA from 1 species
AUGUUGGAGUAAUCGCUGCACGAUUUGUCGUGUAGAGGAAAGUCCAUGCUCACACAAGCUGUGAUGCUUGUAGUGUUCGUGCUUGACGAAAUCAUAAGUCAAGGUAGCCUAACUGGCUAACGGCAGGGAAGAUACCUAAGUCUUCGGAUAUGGUAUUGCAACCUUGAAAGUGCCACAGUGACGUAGUCAGAAUGGAAACAUUCUGAGUGGAACGAGGUAAACCCCACGAGUGAGCAACCCAAAUAAUGGUAGGGGCAUCCUUUAGUAGGGAACUGAACCGAAAGAGGGACAAGCUAAUGCUUGUAGAUAGAUGAUUACUGCUUAAGUACGAGGCUGACCACCGUUUGGAGUACAACAGUACAGAACAUGGCUUACAAAA